UACGUAGGGGGCAAGCGUUGUCCGGAUUCAUUGGGCGUAAAGAGCGUGUAGGCGGCCAGGUAGGUCGGUUGUGAAAACUGGAGGCUCAACCUUCAGAGGUCGACCGAAACCAUCUGGCUAGAGUCCGGGAGAGGAGAGUGGAAUUCCUGGUGUAGCGGUGAAAUGCGCAGAUAUCGGGAGGAACACCUGUGGCGAAAGCGGCUCACUGGACCACAACUGACGCUGAUGCGCGAAAGCUAGGGGAGCAAACAGG
rnacentral:rRNA from 1 species